rnacentral:lncRNA from 1 species
AACCCACCAGCUCAUGGGCUACUUGAGAAAAAUGGACAUUUCUCUUCCCUCCAUCUGCAUCUGGAAAGACAGGCGUACAUUUACUGCCUGCUGCUGCAGGUGUUAAGAGGAACAUCCCGUUUACAGAGCAGAACUGGGUAGGAAUCGAGCCCUCUCCGCUCUCAGCUUCUCAGAUGUUUUAAGUUUGAGGAUAAGAACCAACCCACAUGCGUCCGGUGUCUGUCAGAGCACUUCUACAUUAUAUAUUUUGGCAAAAGCAAAUGUCUUUUAGGAUGAAAACUGAGAGCAUCCAGAAGAGAAAUAAUGGAGUGAGCAGAGAACUUUCAGCUCUCAAGAAACCGCAAAGCAAGUCUGACUGUCUGCUCCUCCGGGGUGGUGCGUUCACACAGUUGUAUGGGUCGAUGGACAGACAGCUGUUGGAACAGGCACGCUCAUAUGCAAGAGCCGUUUUGUGAAACAGAGGCUCCCUACUCCCAGUUUCCCGUACCUUAGGGGUCAGAGAGUUGUUUGAGGUGAAACCGUCACUCCUCCCAUCUAUAACCUGUGCAUGAACUUGAGUUGAAAAUGAGAUUCUUACCAC